rnacentral:rRNA from 1 species
CAGCAGCCGCGGUAAAACGAAGGGGGCUAGCGUUGUUCGGAUUUACUGGGCGUAAAGCGCACGUAGGCGGAUCGAUCAGUCAGGGGUGAAAUCCUGGAGCUCAACUCCAGAACUGCCUUUGAUACUGUCGAUCUCGAGUCCGGAAGAGGUGAGUGGAACUCCUAGUGUAGAGGUGGAAUUCGUAGAUAUUAGGAAGAACACCAGUGGCGAAGGCGGCUCACUGGCUCGAUACUGACGCUGAGGUGCGAAAGCGUGGGGAGCAAACAGGAUUAGAUACCCCGGUAGUCCCUGUCUCUUAUAA